GAUGAGGCUCUUGCUUCCAUUUUCCUCGCCGUUAUCCGCCACGUCACCGUCGGCGUCGCCGCAAUUGUUCCCGGAAUAUCCACCUCCGACGCUAAUCGACCACUCUGGUCUCACUAAAAUCCUCAAAAAAUCGGUAAUCGGAACCCUAACCGGAGCUCUCUCGCUCACUCUCGUAUUCUCGUCGCCGAUUUCCUCCGUAGCUGCUGCCAUUGAUGACCCUUAUCUAUCUCUGAAUCCGCCUUCAUCAUCGCCUAAUUCUUCUCUGAAUUACUUCGAUUCGUCGCCGGAAGAUUGCCCUAACGAGGAAGAAGCUGAUACUGAGACGCCAGAUGAUGACGUCAGGCCUCAGUUAGUAACUAAUGAAGGGAUUGUUGAAGAAGCUUGGGAGAUUGUUAAUGACGCCUUUCUCGAUACUCGAAGCCAUAACUGGACUCCUGAAACUUGGCAGAAACAGAAGGAAGAGAUAUUGGCUAGUCCAAUAAAGAGUAGAUCAAAGGCUCAUGAAGUGAUUAAGAAAAUGCUGGCCAAUUUGGGUGAUCCGUACACUCGGUUUCUCUCACCAGAUGAGUUUUCCAGGAUGUCGAAGUAUGACAUCACCGGUAUUGGAAUAAACCUUAGAGAAGUUUCUGAUGGUGAUGGAAAUGUAAAGCUGAAGGUUCUUGGUCUUGUGUUGGACGGUCCUGCUGAUAUUGCUGGCGUGAAACAAGGAGAUGAAAUUCUUGCUGUCAAUGGAAUGGAUGUUAGUGGGAAAUCAUCUUUUGAAGUAUCAUCUUUGUUACAAGGCCCUAGCAAAACUUUUGUGGAUCUCAAGGUGAAACAUGGGAACUGUGGACCUCUUAAGUCAAUUAAAGUCCAGAGACAAGUUAAUGCAACGACGCCAGUCUCUUACCGGUUGGAUCAAGUUGACAACGGAAAAAUCUCUGUCGGGUAUAUCCGGCUAAAAGAGUUCAAUGCCUUGGCUAGAAAAGAUUUGGUGAUUGCAAUGAAACGACUCCAAGACAAGGGUGCGUCUUAUUUUGUAAUGGAUCUUAGAGAUAACCUUGGUGGACUUGUGCAGGCUGGAAUAGAAACUGCUAAGCUGUUCCUAGAUGAAGGGGAUACGGUGAUAUAUACAGCCGGGAGAGACACCGAGGCUCAAAAAACUGUUCUUGCAGAUAGAAAACCGUUGAUCACUGCCCCACUUAUUGUAUGUGAUGGAUCAUGUAAUGGUAAAUAACAGAACAGCAAGUGCUAGUGAAAUUGUAGCUUCUGCACUUCAUGAUAACUGUAAAGCAGUUCUUGUUGGCGAAAGAACUUACGGAAAGGGUUUGAUUCAAUCGGUUUUCGAACUCCGAGAUGGCUCUGGAGUCGUUGUGACAAUAGGAAAGUAUGUCACACCUAACCAUAUGGACAUCAAUGGUGGUGGAAUUGAACCUGAUUUCAGAAAUCUACCAGCUUGGGAUGAAGUGAAAGAACGUUUGUCUAAGUGCAACAUUCUCCAACAAAGCUGAAACAUGAUGCAAUUCAUCAGGCUGUCUUUGGGUGUAUAUAUACACGAAACUAGCCAAAUUUUUGGGUGUGUCAAUGAUUACAGAAACAUGUGGGUGUAAUUGAAAUUCCGGCUAAAUUUUAAGGGCCACAUAAUAACAAAUGUCAAUGUUAUUCAUGUGGAAACGCUGCCAAAUAUUUGGACGUGUCAAAAUUCAAAAGAA